GCCGACGUAGCUCAAUUGGUAGAGCGGCGGUUUUGUAAACCGCGGGUUAUGGGUUCGAGUCCCUUCGUCGGCUCCA
rnacentral:tRNA from 1 species